ACAUAUAAAUGUAAUCCAACUACUAAACCUAUCUAGUAGUGAUUAACCAAUCUCGACCCCGUAUCGAUUUCCAUUUCCAAUCAAGGACCUACCAAAGGUAGUCCAGCUUGUGCCGCCUAAGUGCCUGUGGUAGCCCGACAUUCCUACUCUUGGAAUGUGUCUGUCCCACUCGACCCCGUAGGCUUCUCAAUACCGCACGAGCGAUCAAAAGUCACGCAGGCUAACUCCGGAGUGCCGGCUUGUAGGGAGCGACCCUCACAAGCAUGUGCGAAUGAGCACAAAUGGCAAGCAAGCAUAGUCUAAGUCUCAAAUAUCCAAUCCUCAUGUCUCUAACAUGGUAUCAUAACUAGCAUCCCAAAGAUCUAGUCUAAGUCACAAUGUGAAGUUUCAACAGUUGCUACGCCUAGUGCCCCUUGAUGACACUUAGGCAAUUUGAUGUUCAACACGUUUUCCAAAUCCCUCAAUGGCCCUAUCCACUAGGUUCACACAAGUCCUGAGCUCAAUGCCGCUUGAUGACAUUAGCUCUCCAAUUCACAUGAUAUCAAGUUCGAUGCCUACCUAUGUAGCAAUUGUCAUCUUUCAUGUCUCAAUUAAACUUAUGUUUAAAUGCAUGGAUCAUAGCUCAUAUACUCUAUAGAAGCAUGAAACCAAAACCCAUAUAGAAUGCUAAAUGCAACCAACUCUCUCUCUCAAGCAACU
rnacentral:lncRNA from 1 species